rnacentral:lncRNA from 1 species
UCUUCUUCUUGUUUUGUUUUGUAAAUAUGUUGUGUAUCUUGUCUCUUAGAGUUGUGCUCUCAAAAGAGAGAAAAGAAAAGAGACCAGAUGAAGAAAAAAAAGAAAAAAAAAAUACAAAAAAAAUGAGAAAAAUAAAAAAUUUUGUGAAUAAAGGAGUCAAGAAGAGGAUUGAAUUAGAGGUUUUGGGUGUGCGUAUACUGUGUUUACACUUGUUCCCCAUUGCUCCUCUAUUUCCUUUGGUUUGUAGCUUCUCAUCCAUAUGUAUCCUUCCUUGUCCUUGACCCCAUUGCAUC